UGUGUGGGGAGGACUUUCUUCCUUCACAGAACUCUGUUACACCAUUAAAAAGUGUUGUUGCCCUGAAGAGGCUUUUAUUCAAUCCGUUCACUUACGCUUGGUUUGAUUUGUCCGGCUUUUGAGAUGUGGACGUUUACAUUUUACCCAAUAAAGAGAGAGAAACAUUAUUUCAGCUGCUUUAAUUCAGGAAGAAUUGGGACGUAAAAGGUCUUUCAAAGUACAAACCUUCUAAUGCGUUGACUUUUACUGUGAAAAUGUACGUUAUCUGUUGCUCUUUGGGGUCCGAUUUUUAGGCAGAAAACCAAAAAAGUAUUUCCCUCCUGUUUUUCCAAAGGGAAGGACGUCCAUUUCCGUUUUAGGUUUGCAGUUUCUCACAAUUGUUCACACACAUUUCUCAAAACAAUAACGGCUUUGAGGAAUGCACUUUCAAAUCUGCCCAAUUUCCGAGUGUCGUGCGUGCGUCGGAGCUGCUGCGUAUUUUGUGGAAAAGAUCAUCUGCAUACUCACCACUUGUCUUGUCAGACGCUCACUCGGUGUGAGAUCUUCAUUCUCCUCGCGGGAAGCAUGCAAAGGGCAGCCUGUAGAGGAGGAGGCGUGGAUCCCGGUGAUGAUGCAGGGAAGGCAAGAGGACACCAGCCUGGGGAGGGACACCAGUGAGAGUCUGUUCCAGGGAGGAACUAUGGGGAUUACGACGCGCCAGAGAGAGAAUGCCAGGAAAAAUAAAGUCUGUCUUGUGUUUUUAUUCAACACUCCUCAAGCUGAAUAUUUUAUAGCCUGAAUGUUGCAGUUUUCUAUCAAAGAGUUUCUCACAAAAAAAAUACAAAGCAGAAUUUGUAUUUAAAUGUAAAAAAUUGAAAGUGAUCAAAUAAAUGACCCAUGCUGACAAAAA